AAAGCGUCAACGGGAUCUUGUGUUGAGAAACUUUCUCGUUCCUUGACGGGAUAUUCCAUAGUGGAAGAGGCAAUUUGUGGAGGUGUGUUUCAGCUUCUUGCCAUGCUGGGUCUUAGGAUUAAAAUGACAGAAUGACUGAACAACAGGUUCAUCAAGCAACAGAUCCCAAAAAGAAGUCAAACGGUAAUAGUCGGUGAUCUUGUUUUCAUAUAGUAGGAUAUACUUUAAACCAAGAAGUUAAUUAAAAUUAAUUAAACGCAGAGUCAAUAAUAAUCAUGGGUUCGCAACAUUAGAGGUCAUAUCAAC